UGCCAGCCGCCGCGGUAAUACGGAGGGUGCAAGCGUUGUUCGGAAUUACUGGGCGUAAAGCGCACGUAGGCGGAUUAGUAAGUUAGGGGUGAAAUCCCGGGGCUCAACCCCGGAACUGCCUCUAAUACUGCUAGUCUUGAGUUCGAGAGAGGUGAGUGGAAUUCCGAGUGUAGAGGUGAAAUUCGUAGAUAUUCGGAGGAACACCAGUGGCGAAGGCGGCUCACUGGCUCGAUACUGACGCUGAGGUACGAAAGCGUGGGUAGCGAAUGGGAUUAGAUA
rnacentral:rRNA from 1 species